rnacentral:rRNA from 1 species
GGUAACAUAGAUUGCUUGCAAUCUGAUGACGAGUGGCGCACGGGUGCGUAACGCGUAUGCAAUCUACCUUUUACAGGAGAAUAGCCCAGAGAAAUUUGGAAUAAUGCUCCAUAAUAUCAUUUAUCAGCAUUGAUUUAUGAUUAAAGUUCCGGCGGUAAAAGAUGAGCAUGCGUUCUAUUAGCUAGUAGGUGAGGUAACGGCUCACCUAGGCAACGAUAGAUAGGGGCCCUGAGAGGGGGAUCCCCCACACUGGUACUGAGACACGGACCAGACUCCUACGGGAGGCAGCAGUGAGGAAUAUUGGACAAUGGAGGAAACUCUGAUCCAGCCAUGCCGCGUGCAGGAUGACUGCCCUAUGGGUUGUAAACUGCUUUUAUAUAGGAAGAAACACUCUCACGUGUGGGGGCUUGACGGUACUAUAUGAAUAAGGAUCGGCUAACUCCGUGCCAGCAGCCGCGGUAAUACGGAGGAUCCAAGCGUUAUCCGGAAUCAUUGGGUUUAAAGGGUCCGCAGGCGGCCUGUUAAGUCAGAGGUGAAAUCCUACAGCUCAACUGUAGAAUUGCCUUUGAUACUGAUAGGCUUGAGUUAUUGUGAAGUGGUUAGAAUGUGUGGUGUAGCGGUGAAAUGCUUAGAUAUCACACAGAACACCCAUUGCGAAGGCAGAUCACUAACAAUAUACUGACGCUCAUGGACGAAAGCGUGGGGAGCGAACGGGAUUAGAUACCCCGGUAGUCCACGCCGUAAACGAUGGAUACUAACUGUUCGACCUUCGGGUUGAGUGGUCAAGCGAAAGUGAUAAGUAUCCCACCUGGGGAGUACGCUCGCAAGAGUGAAACUCAAAGGAAUUGACGGGGGCCCGCACAAGCGGUGGAGCAUGUGGUUUAAUUUCGAUGA